rnacentral:lncRNA from 11 species
GAGAGUUGAGAGCUACCAUGUACCUGGUUGAACUCAUGCCCUUCCUGGCUCAUAAAAACAGCAAAGGGAAACUGGAUAAGAGGAGUGCUGGAGAAAGGCAUGGUUCUCUUACACCCGAAAGAGGCUUUGAGUCAAUGAAGAAAGAGUUAGGAAUUCCACCAUACUGGACAAUUACUGCUCUACAAGAUUCCUUUCUUUGGGCUUCAGCUUUAGAGUUGCUUACAGAAUGUAACAGGACAUACAUCAGUGGAGAUACAGGGAUACACUGUAGACAGUUUGAAGAUGUAUUUGAGUGGGAAGGAAUCGCUUACGUAUGAUGACCGAGGCGCCAGCUUUCAAAUUGAUUUGAACCCGCAGCGGAGAGUUCUGCAGAUCCAUCACCAAAGGAACGGAGCGGCACUGCAGCAGACUAUUAUUAAAAGAUUUUUUUUUCUUCACUUUCCCCUUCCCUGAACUAUGUAACAAAUCCCCCCAAUAAAAGUAGCAUUCAUUUUUAACAGUAACACUCUCUACCUGGUUAUUUUGUGUCUUUC